rnacentral:rRNA from 1 species
GUCCCGCCUGCCCUGUGACUACAUGUUUAACGGCCGCGGUAUUUUGACCGUGCAAAGGUAGCGCAAUCACUUGUCUUUUAAAUGAAGACCCGUAUGAAUGGCAUAACGAGGGCUUAACUGUCUCCUUUUUCCAGUCAAUGAAAUUGAUCUCCCCGUGCAGAAGCGGGGAUACAACCAUAAGACGAGAAGACCCUGUGGAGCUUUAGACACAAGACAGAUCAUAAAGAACAGUUAAAAACAAAAAACUAAACCCAAAUGAAUCCCUGUCUGAUUAUGUCUUUGGUUGGGGCGACCGCGGGGAAAAACAAAACCCCCACGUGGAAUGAGAGCACCCCUCUUACAACCGAGAGAUACACCUCUAAGAAACAGUACAUCUGACCAAAAAUGAUCCGACGCUAGUCGAUCAACGGACCGAGUUACCCCAGGGAUAACAGCGCAAUCCCCUCCCAGAGCCCAUAUCGACGAGGGGGUUUACGACCUCGAUGUUGGAUCAGGACAUCCUAAUGGUGCAACCGCUAUUAA